GGAACUCCCUCGUUCUGCCGCCCUCUCCCGCGCCACCCAGCCCCCUACCCGCCACCGCGACCGGGUUCUGCGCAUUCCCGCCCGAGAGCCCCGCGCUGGGUCGCACGGCAAGUGUGACUCUCUGAUGCCACCUGCCGCUUAGAUCCGCAGAAACGGCCACACAGCUCGCAGACAUACCGAGGCGGGUAGGGUAACCCAGCGUCUCCCGGUCACACCACACUGUGAAUACUGCUUAUCCACUGCCUGCCAGGGGAGGAGGUGGGUCUAUGUGCCGCCACCCCAGGCUAAGGGACUUCCCUGGUGCUUUUGCUUCAUCGAGGAAGUGUGGUUAUUGCUCAGCUUAUACUGGUGUAAACCAUAAGUGUGAAAGGGACCGUCAGAAUGCUAGGGGGAGGAAAGGCCAUCAAGUGGGCUUGAAAUGGCAGAGUCCACAGGGUGUUCAGAAAGGGUGCACAUGGGAUCUCAAACUCAGCCGAUCACACCUCAGGCACAACAGCAGACUCCCUCUGGGAGUGUGGUCUCCACAUUCCUGGCCUCUGCAACCACACAAAAGGUACAGAGGAGAGCUGUAUUGUGGUGCAGGCCUGUAAUCCUAACGCUUGUGCAGUACAGGCAGAAAAAUCAGAAGUUCAAGGUCAUCCCCGGUUGCAUACCAAGUUUGAGACCAAACUCUCCACCCCACCUGGAGUCCUGGGCACUGGUGUUUUCUGGAAAGUUUUGUAGGACCCCACUUGCAAAGUCUGAAGCUCCUCAUAUCUCUCACCCUCAGAAGUAACUGUUUCUAAUCCUGAUCCCAAACCAUCUCAACGUUUCACUGAAAAACUACCUUUUCCAAAAGCCAGUAGACAGGCAUCUACUGGAGGAGCCACGAGAAAUCCAUGGAGCUGAAAAAGGUGGGACAACCAACAAUUUCCUGCCAGCUUGCUGCCAUGACUGUCGGAGUGCUGAAUGGGCAGCAUCUCUAAGCACUGAUGAGAAAAGGCUAAAGAAACAACCAGGCCUGGCCCUCAGUCAACUGGCCCACUAGGCUGGGCUCCUGCAUGACAGUUCACUGAGCAGGAUCAGCCCACACGGAGGAAGGCUUCAGGUUCUUUCUGAGAGGGUAAGGGUCAUGGCUACAGGAGAUGAGGUGGGCAGAGGGCUGUGCUCCACACCCUGCCUCCAUGUGAGUAUGAAGUCCACAUGUCUUGUUGAAGAUGCCCAGAGGGCCUGUGGUCCAGUGAGAACAGAUGGAAUGCAGGGACAGGAAGAGAGCCCAGGUCCAGGUGCAGGUGCCCUCAGACAGCCAAAGGAUCCCAUACACGAGGCCUGUUCUCUUCAGGGUCCUCCGGGCUGCUAGAUGAGAAGUGCCGGCACUGGGUACUGUGACGGUUGACUAUGUUACCAUCAUGCUGCCAGGUACCUGGAGAGGAGAACCAAAGGUUAUGGGAGCCAUACCUUAGACCAAGUCUACAUGGUGUCUCCAGCAGGGCAGCACAGGAGUCAAUACAGAAUCUAGCAGGAUGUGUGUGACCUGAAACUCCUGAGUGUGUGGGCGGGCCACUCAUGAAUGGAAGAGUAGGGAGAAGGUGCUGACAUGUUCCAGGGCUGUUCCUCCUUAACUAGUCAUUGCCUGUGACCCUUGGACAGAAGGACUCUGCAGAUGUUCUUGCUCAUGAACUUACCUAGCAUCCAUUCUGCAUGUUAAGUACUUGGUCCUAGACUUUGCCUAUGUUAUGAGGCUGAGCCAAGCUGCUUCCUCCAUGGAAGGCAGAUGUGCAAAGAGCACGCUUCUCCUGACAUACAGCCUUGUGUUUGCUGUGGGAGCCAGUGGGUAGGAAGGGGCUGGCAGCAGAGCAGGCCAGGGAAGGGAAGCCUUGGAUGGGACAAAGUGUAGUGCUCAGAGCCCUUCCUCUAUACUUCUGCUUCUCAUCUCUUCCUCAUCUGAGCAUCUGGGGUUCCAGGAUGCUGUUUAUCACAUAGACCUCUCUCCCAAGCCCUGGCUGCCUCUGUGCUCCAAGUAGAAAACUCACCCCUGCGACCUCUCGGCUUCAUGCUCUGAUGCAACCUUCCAACACCUGUAUCUGCUCUUCCUACUCACAUCCACAUCUGCAUGGCACCGACCUGGGCCUCGUCCCUAAAUUCGUAGGUAUCAGUGGUCUGAUCUUUGGCAGGCCACCUUACUUAGGGCCUUGGCUUUCUCCUAUGUCCAACUAGGUGAGUGUGGCCCUCACAAAGUUUGCUGUGAGGCCCGCAUGAGGCCACAUGUAAGUACGUCAGCAGCAUACCUGACUCAGAAAUGUGCUGUGACCAGUUCCCUGACAGCUUGGUUUGGAGGACCCUCAUGUAUUCCCUGGGUCCCUCUGGCUGUCGUCCAAGCUGGCAAGUUAGCUCCCUGUUUCAUUCUCUCUAGAAGAGCUAGUGUGUUCUUUAUACAGUGACAGGCAGGGCCUUACACUUUCCAGGCACCAUGGUAUAUACACUUUUGCACUCUGGAGCUCAGAAAGGUGUGUGGCCAUAGGAGUGGGGUGGGGUGGGGCUUUUCCCGUAUGUGAGGUCAGCUAACUCUAUAGUGUUGUCCUGAGACCACCUUACAAAUGGCUAGUCAGCCUCAGGUUCAGCAGGCUGAAGACACAAAGCCCUUGAAUGGCAUACAUGCUAAGGUGAAGCAGGUAUCAACUGCUUAUUCUCAGAAAUGUCCUGGUGUGGAAUCUCUCCCGAGGCUAGACCCAGGAAAGCAGGGGAACCGGGUCUUUCACACCUAAACUGCCCAUGGGCUCUCUGCUCCUUGGAGCAUGGGUCAGAGAUGCUUCUUCCCCUUGGCAGGCGGCACUCUGAGUGGAGGGGAGAGUAUCAAGAAAAAGGAUGUUUGGUUAGGAACCCCAGAUAAAAUGAGUGGUUUUUUCAAUUAUAUAAUUUGGUAGAUGUCAUACCUAUUCCUCAAUGUUUAUGGGGCAGGACUCCGGAGCUGCGGCUGUUUAGUAGGAGAGACCAAAAGCAAACGGUAAACAAGAGAGAAGACACACGCACACACAAGUAAGACAGCAGCACCCACAUCCCCAGCACCAUGGUCACUGCUGCCAGCAUCCAUGACACUGAGGCUGUCCUGACCAAAUUCACAGGCAUCCUUAUGCAACAUCUGCUACCCUAGGGCUGCAGACUGUCCCUUGUACAGCAGGCCAGGGUGCAGAGGGCCUUGUGCAGUGAAGGGGCACGGUGAGAGAAUGAGGUGUCCUUUGCCCUGGAGGCCUGCUGCUGUUGCCUCUGCCUCUCUACAGCCCACUCAGAGGAUAGCCUGGACAGAGCUUGGAGACCCGAACUCCCUGCGUGGGGGGGGGGGGGGAACGACAGUGGUGCUUUCCAUUUGUUCCCUUUUGGGGAAUCAGAAAUGAGAGGAGGAAGAGACCUCCAGAGGCUAGCAGACUUAGGAACACUUGGCAUGGCUCUCUGUGUCCCUACUAAUGUGCUGAUUAAAUUUAAGGGCUGUUUCCCCUCAGAGCCUGCUACUGCAAACAUUCCCUAAGCAUCUCUUUUAAAGACAGGAUCUCACUUUGUAGCCCUUGCUGGCCUGGAACUUGAUAUAUAGACGAGGCUAACCUCAAACUCAUAGAAAAUCUGCCUGCCUCUGCCUCCUGAGUGCUGGGACGAAAGGUGUGCAUGACCACAUCUUAAUUUUACAUCAUGAGGCUUGAAGAGAGGAGUAACUUGAACUUCAGAGCCUUCUAAGAAUGUUCCCCGCCCCCAUCAGUCUCCGCCACCCACGUAACACCCUGAGAAGCCACGCUGACUUCGCAUGGUCAUGCAGUUCCUAUCACAGCCCCUUUCAACCUUCAGGAGUGCUUUCAGAAUGUGCUGGGCUCUAACACGAGGGACCAGAAACUACCUCUGUCCUGGGGCCUUUGAAGGCCUGGAAGCUUCUUAGGGGAGAAGAGCUGCAAUGUACGGCGCCCUCUAAGGCCCUCCCAACCUGGUGACUGAUUCCAUGUUUGGCCAAACUGAGAACCCCAUUUCACCUCAAAAAGGCUGGCUCUUGACAUUACCAGAAGAAACCCAUGGCUGUUUGCUUCCUUUUUGGACUCUUCUGUCCCCAUACUGCACCCCUCCCCAUAAAUGAAGACGCAUUGACAA